rnacentral:rRNA from 1 species
UACGUAGGGGGCGAGCGUUGUCCGGAAUCAUUGGGCGUAAAGCGCGUGUAGGCGGCCCGGUAAGUCCGCUGUGAAAGUCCAGGGCUCAACCCUGGGAUGCCGGUGGAUACUGUCGGGCUCGAGUCCGGAAGAGGCGAGUGGAAUUCCUGGUGUAGCGGUGAAAUGCGCAGAUAUCAGGAGGAACACCAGUGGCGAAGGCGGCUCCUGGACACACUGACGCUGAGACGACGAAGCGUGGGGAGCAAACAGGAU